rnacentral:lncRNA from 1 species
AGUCCUUCGCCGUCCCUCGCCGUCCUUCGCCAUCGCACGCCACCGCACCCCAUCUCUCGAAAUCUGCAGACAUCUUGAUUUUUCCCACGCUGUCUGUCAGGUCUCCGCCGCCACUCGACGCCAGGGCGCCGGGCCUUGUGGGCUGUGCUGCACCUCGGACGGCUUCGCACCAGCCAGCGCCCUCUCUCUCCUGCAGCACUCUGAUCUGCACCCCCUGAGGGGCUUCCACUGUCCGCGGGGUGAGAAUGCCCCUGGGAGUGUCACAUGACUGCCGCCCCAUGUGUGUGAGAGGCGUCCUCUGGGAGAGCAUGGAUCCUGAGGUCCCAGGAACAUCCCGAGAGCCAAGUUCCCAGAUGCCAGCCAAGGGCCAUCUGACCUGUUUUGAAUCUCAAUUUCCUGAUACAGAAAACAAAGGAUUGUCAGCUGACCUCUGUCCUGUGUGCCCAGUGGCCCCAGGUGACGUGUCUUCAAGAAGAGGCUGAGCUGCGGUGCUUGUAAGAGUCAUGUGCUGUUCCUGGGGCUUGGAUGAUGUAGGGGAAGCAAGGUGAAAGUGGUAUCCCGUGGUUCCACGUUCUGUCCUGCUGUGGGGCUGUCCCUCACAUGCUUUCAGUGGCUGUUGCAGAGGAAGAGCCUCCGGAAAUCUGCGUGGGUAAAGUCUCAGCCUUAGAUCCAAGGACAGUCCAAGGAAGUCCUAAGACCAUGGAGUUGGUGAUCUGGGAUCUGGGUUUGCUGAUAUUUCUCACCGUGAAUCUCUUGGUGGUGUUUGUGGGCACGAGAGGGGCAGAGAAUGGAGAGUGAGGCUACCACAUGAAGCGUCACCAGAGCUGCUCCCUGCUGCCUGCUCAGAGCACCCCGGAUCCACUGUUCAAUCUGCACAAGAUUCGGGGUCCAGACAUGGGAGACUUCAGCUGCCUCAGAGGACCGUGGACAGGGAAGGCCAGCCUCGCAUCCCUCUGUCCAUGCCUGGAAUGACUUUAAUAACCAAGAGUUUUAUUUUUGAAUUUGUAGCUGUCGUUCACUUUUUACCCACCCAUUCAAUAAACCUUACAGAAUUGCUCCA